rnacentral:rRNA from 1 species
CUGGCUCAGGACGAACGCUGGCGGCGUGCCUAAUACAUGCAAGUCGAGCGAACAGAGAAGGAGCUUGCUCCUUUGACGUUAGCGGCGGACGGGUGAGUAACACGUGGGCAACCUACCUUAUAGUUUGGGAUAACUCCGGGAAACCGGGGCUAAUACCGAAUAAUCUGUUUCACCUCA